GGGCGUGUAGCUCAGCUGGGAGAGCGCCACAAUCGCACUGUGGAGGCCCAGGGUUCGAAUCCCUGCACGUCCA
rnacentral:tRNA from 1 species